rnacentral:rRNA from 1 species
CCUACGGGAGGCAGCAGUGGGGGAUAUUGCACAAUGGGGGAAACCCUGAUGCAGCGACGCCGCGUGAGUGAAGAAGUAUUUCGGUAUGUAAAGCUCUAUCAGCAGGGAAGAAAAUGACAGUACCUGACCAAGAAGCCCCGUCUAACUACGUGCCAGCAGCCGCGGCACUGUGCAGGGGGCCAGCGUUAUCCGGAUUUACUGGGUGUAAAGGGAGCGUAGACGGUUAUGUAAGUCUGGAGUGAAAGCCCGGGGCCCAACCACGGGACUGCUUUGGCAACUGUGUAACUGGAGUACAGGAGGGGCAGGCGGAAUGCGUGGUGUAGCGGUGAAAUGCGUAGAUAUCACGAAGAACACCGGUGGCGAAGGCAGCCUGCUGGACUGAAACUGACGUUGAGGCUCGAAAGCGUGGGGAGCAAACAGGAUUAGAUACCCCAGUAGUC